rnacentral:misc_RNA from 1 species
GCACUGGAAGGUAACUUUUUUAAUUUUAACUUUAAUGCAAUAAAUUGAGAAACUUGCAACUGAUAGGGUUGGAAACUUUCAGCCUGUAUUAACUUUUCCAAACUUCAAAUAUUUUUUCCUGUGUACUUGACACAAGCCAUCACCAGUUUACAACCCCUAAUUAAUUAGGAUCUUGAGUUCCUCUACAGAAUACAACCAUAAUCUUCUUAUGUGCUUGAUCAAUAUGCCUCAAUGUGAUAGAUUAUAAAUACCAUAUGGUUAAUUAUUAUGAAAAUUAAGUUAAAAUUUAAAACCAUUCUCA